ACUCAAAUGAAUUGACGGGAGCCCGCACAAGCGGUGGAUUAUGUGGUUUAAUUCGAAGCAACGCGCAGAACCUUACCUGGGUUUGACAUCCUUUGACAAACGUAGAGAUACGUCUUUUGUAGCAAUACAACAAAGAGACAGGUGCUGCAUGGCUGUCGUCAGCUCGUGUGGUGGCAUGUCGGGUUAAGUCCCUCAACGAGCGCAACCCCUGUGUUUAGUUGCCAGCAUUAAGUUGGGCACUCUAGACAGACUGCCGUGGUUAACACGGAGGAAGGCGGGGAUGACGUCAAGUCCUCAUGGCCCUUACAUCCAGGGCGACACACGUAAUACAAUGGUCGGUACAGAGGGACGCGAAACAGCAAUGUGGAGCUAAUCUCAAAAAGCCGAUCUCAGUUCGGAUUGGAGUCUGCAACUCGACUCCAUGAAGGCGGAAUCGCUAGUAAUCGCGGAUCAGCACGCCGCGGUGAAUACGUUCCCGGGCUUUGUACACACCGCCCGU
rnacentral:rRNA from 1 species